AGCGAACGUUAGCGGCGCGCCUAACACAUGCAAGUCGCACGAGAGUGGAGCAAUCCAUGAAAGUGGCGCACGGGUGCGUAACACGUAGAUAAUCUGCCCUUCAGCGGGGGAUAACGUUCC
rnacentral:rRNA from 1 species